GUAGGGAAUUGCAAUUAUUUCCCUUGAACGAGGAAUUCCCAGUAAGCGCGAGUCAUUAGCUCGCGUUGAUUACGUCCCUGCCCUUUGUACACACCGCCCGUCGCUACUACCGAUUGAAUGGUUUAGUGAGGUCCUCCGAUUGGACCCGGUCCGGGCGGCGACGUCCGAGCCGGCGUCCGAGAAGACGAUCUAACUUGAUCAUUUAGAGGAAGUAAAAGUCGUAACAAGGUUUCCGUAGGUGAACCUGCGGAAGGAUCAUUA
rnacentral:ncRNA from 1 species